rnacentral:rRNA from 1 species
GAUGAACGCUGGCGGCGUGCCUAAUACCUGCAAGUCGAGCGAACGGACGAGAAGCUUGCUUCUCUGAUGUUAGCGGCGGACGGGUGAGUAACACGUGGAUAACCUACCUAUAAGACUGGGAUAACUUCGGGAAACCGGAGCUAAUACCGGAUGAUAUUUUGAACCGCAUGGUUCAAAAGUGAAAGACGGUCUUGCUGUCACUUAUAGAUGGAUCCGCGCUGCAUUAGCUAGUUGGUAAGGUAACGGCUUACCAAGGCAACGAUGCAUAGCCGAUCUGAGAGGGUGAUCGGCCACACUGGAACUGAGACACGGUCCAGACUCCUACGGGAGGCAGCAGUAGGGAAUCUUCCGCAAUGGGCGAAAGCCUGACGGAGCAACGCCGCGUGAGUGAUGAAGGUCUUCGGAUCGUAAAACUCUGUUAUUAGGGAAGAACAUAUGUGUAAGUAACUGUGCACAUCUUGACGGUACCUAAUCAGAAAGCCACGGCUAACUACGUG